rnacentral:misc_RNA from 1 species
AGGUUGGUGUCCUUCUAUCUAGGUGUAAUGGAUCCACAGUUGAAACUUAUUAAUGUUUUCUGAGUUUGAUGGUUAACUGCUGAUAGUUGCUUUACUUGAUUUUAAUUUAAUUCAUCUGUAGCCGUAAAAAUUCGGUUCUUUGCCUCAAGUUAAUGGUUAAAGCACCGGAUUCAGGGCUUUGCCUCUGGCUCGCUCAACUAAUUGCUCAUUUUUUAAUAUUUGGUGUUGAGCAGUGGUGGGCUUUUUAAAUUUUUUUUAGAAAAAACAAGAAAUAAUAUAUAUUCAUAUAUGGUAUCUAGGCUAGUCUUCUUUUUUCCAGCCUAGUCAGUGGGAAUGACUGCAUUAGAGAGCUUGCAUGACUUCAUAUGGUGGAACCAAAUUGCUUCAUUUAUGGUAUUGUGGUUCAUUUGUUUAGUCUGACAUUUCUCUACUAGGAAUAAUUAUCUGGCACCACUAUCAGGAUUG